rnacentral:rRNA from 1 species
UACGUAGGGGCCUAGCGUUGUCCGGAUUUAUUGGGCGUAAAGAGCUCGUAGGCGGUUCGGUAAGUCGGAUGUGAAAACUCAGGCUCAACCCGGAGACGCCAUCCGAUACUGCUGUGACUUGAGUCUGGUAGGGGAACACGGAAUACCUGGUGUAGCGGUGAAAUGCGCAGAUAUCAGGUGGAACACCGAUGGCGAGGGCAGUGUUCUGGGCCAGUACUGACGCUGAGGAGCGAAAGCUAGGGUAGCAAACGGG